AACGAACGCUGGCGGCAUGCCUAACACAUGCAAGUCGAACGGGAUCCUAGCUUGCUAGGUGAGAGUGGCGGACGGGUGAGUAACACGUGGGAACCUGCCUCUUGGUUCGGGAUAACCGCGGGAAACUGCGGCUAAUACCGAAUGCUCCCGAGAGGGAAAAGACUUAUCGCCAGAAGAGGGGCCCGCGUCCGAUUAGGUAG
rnacentral:rRNA from 1 species